UGGUUCUGGCAUCGAUGAAGAACGCAGCGAAAUGCGAUAAGUAAUGCGAAUUGCAGAAUUCUACGAGUCAUCGAAUCUUUGAACGCACAUUGCGCCCGCCAGCAUUCUGGCGGGCAUGCCUGUUCGAGCGUCAUUUCAACCCCCAAGCCCUGGCUGCUUGGUGUUGGGGCCCUAUGGCUGUGCGCCGUAAGCCCCGAAAAUCAGUGGCGGGCCCGCUGGAAUCCCGAACGCAGUAGCUUAGUUCCUCGUUCAGGGCGUCCUCGGCGGGUUUCCAGCCGUAAAACCCCCUAUCAAAACAAGGUUGACCUCGGAUCAGGUAGGAAUACCCGCUGA
rnacentral:misc_RNA from 1 species